CUCUUCUCUCCCCUACUUUUUCCCUCUCUCAUACUUUACUCUCUCCACUUUAACUAUUUAAAUAUCAAUUCCUUAAAUCAUGUGCCAAAAGAAGUGAGUCUAAUACUCCGGGACGGAGGGAAUACUAAAUUUGCCUAUAAGCAAUAUCCAUCGGAUGCUAAGUUGGUAUUUUGGGCAGAGGCUAAGUUUUGCCUAUAUACAAUAUGUGGAACUAUUUUGAGCAGAGGCUAUAUGCAAUAUGUGAAAAAAGUGAGUUGUUGAUGAUACUCACCUUUGUGUGAUUGUGAAAAGGACUUGCUGAAUUCGUCUCUCUCAUGAUAUACAAAAGGUCCUGAUGGAUUGCUUCCUCCUCUUGCUUCGUUGAGAAAAUAUUGUGGGAGUUAUUGUUUAUGUGAGGUGGGGGUAUGCAAAUGAUUGGUGGUGUAUACAUAUAUGUGCGAGAAGAUGGCAACUUGGCUGACAAAUCUCCCCUCCAAAUAUUCUCUCUGUCAGAAAAUAUCAUCUUUGCCAGAAGAAAAAAAAAACCCGGUUCAAGCUCGUGGCUUUGGUGUAGGAAAACAAAUAACAUCCACGGUCAUCCCUGAUGAUGUUCCGACUUUCUUGGAGUGCGAGCACGACCGUAGAACGGGCUGCCUGGGCUUGCACGUCUCUCUCUCUAAUUGUAAUAGAUUAGGAUUUGAUAAGUUUGUACCAUAAGACUUCAUCGAACAUCCGAUGGAUGGGCCGGACAUUGAAACUUUUUAUUUGGUUCUCUCCUUUUAGUUGCACUUGAAAUGUUCGUUUGA